GCCACAGAUUUUUCAUCCUGAGAUGCCCUUGGGUGCCUGCUAAUUGUUUUUCUUAGGUUGGCUGUUUUGCUCUUCAUCUUAAAAUAUUAACAUGUCGGGCGGGCGCAGUGGCUUAUGCCUAUAAUCCUAGCACUUUGGGAGGCUGAGGCAGGCGGAUCACCUGAGAUCAGGAGUUCGAGAUCAGCCUGGCCAACAUGGAGAAACCCCAUCUCUACUAAAAAUACAAAAAUUAGCCGGGCAUGGUGGUGUAUGCCUGCAAUCCCAGCUCCUCAGGAGGCUGAGACAGGAGAAUCACUUGAACCCAGGAGACGGAGGUUGCAGUGAGCCGAGAUCGCGCCACUGCAUUCCAGCAUGGGUGACAGAGCAAGACUCUGUCUCAAAAGAAAAAUGAUUAAGAUGUCAUGUCAAAGUAUUAACCUGCUGUUUUGAUAGAAAAAUAGCAAUGAGGAUGGCCUUGGUGGCUCGUGCCUGUAAUCCCAGCACUCUGGGAGGCCGACACAGGUGGGUCAUGAGGUCAGGAGAUCGAGACCAUCCUGGCCAACAUGGCGAAAUCCCAUCUCUACUAAAAACACAAAAAUUAGCCAGGUGUGGUGGUGUGUGCCUGUAGUCCCAGCUACUCAAGAGGCUGAGGCGGAGAAUCGCUUGAACCUGGGAGGCAGAGGUUGCAGUGAGCCGAGAUCACGCCAUUGCACUCCAGCCUGGAUGACAAGAGCAAAACUCCGUCUCAAAAAAAUUAAAUAAAUAAAUAAAUAAAAAAUAACAAUGAAGGCUGGGCAGGGUGACCCACGCCUGUAAUCCUAGCAUUUUGGGAGGCCGAGGCAGGCAGAUCACUUGAGCCCAGGAGUUUGAAACCAGCCUGGGCAACAUAUUGAGACCAUGUCUACAAAAAAUACAAAAAUUAGCUAGGCAUGGUGGCAUGCACCUGUAGACCUGUUGUUCCAGCUACUCAGGAGGCUGAGGCAAGAGGAUCACUUGAGCCCAGGGAGAUCAAGGCUGCAGUGAGCUGUGAUCGUGCCACUGCUCUCCAGGCCUGGGUGACAGAGUGAGACCCUGUCUCAAAACAAAACAAAAGACAGCGAUGAAAACAGGCUUCCAAUAAAAAAAUAAGAAAAGACUGCUAAUUUGUCAGGCUCAAAUAUCCCAUGUGUUCAGGGAGUAAGAGAAAUACUGUCCAUAAAAGCUCUGUACAGCCAAGAACAUCUGCAAAAUGAUUAUCACAGUUUGCCAUGGACUACAUGGAAGUGAAGUGACUUCAUUUUACCUUCACUCUCCUAGGUAGGAUAUAAACAAUUCUAUUACGAAACAUUUCCAGGAAAGUCUUCACACUGUCUCUCAGACAACCCUUUCUAGUAUUAAUGGAAAUAGAUAACACAUUUCAACCCAUGUUCAAAACUGGGCCUUCCAUCAUGUCUACACACAUUGGCCAUAUAUCUGUUACAGAAGGAAUAUUAUGCUUGUAUUCAGGCAAAAAUUGCUCCAAAAGCUAAUAUAUGUUGUAGUUAAGAUCUCAGCCCUGAUGCCAGAUUAUCUGAGUUUGAAUCCUUGUGUGAUCUCUCUAAAGCAUCUUUUCUCCUAUUUAAAUGGAUGUAAUAGUCGGGCACGGUGGCUCACCCCUAUAAUCCCAGCACUUUAGGAGGCCGAAGUGUCCAGAUCACUUGAGGUCAGGAGUUUGAGACCAACCUGGCCAACAUGGUGAAACCUUGUCUCUACUAAAAAUACAAAACAAAUUAGCCAGGUAUGGUGGUGGCCGCCUGUAAUCCCAGCUACUUGGGAGGCUGAGGCAGGAGAAUCACUCGAACCUGGGAGGCAGAGGUUGCAGUGAGUUGAGAUCGCGCCACUGCACUCCAGCCUGGGUGACAAGAGCAAAACUCUGUCUCAAUAAUAAUAAUAAUAAUAAUAAUAAUAAUAAUGGAAUGAAUAUUAGAAUACUAGCUUGAAUAAAUAAUAGAGCUUACAUUGGAAGUCUGAACAAACAGCAUAUUUACUUUGAAAAUGCUCUAAGCAGUAUGUCUGCAAGCAUAUGUAACCCACUGAGUAAAGCAGUUGUUAAGCAGAAAAUAAACAGAUUUUUAAUGAACCAUAUGGCAAUGAUAAAUGAAAAAUAAAUUGUAUAAGCGAAUGCAAAAAUAAAGAUCUAAGAAAAACAAAUAUGAGACAAGACUACUGCUUCUGGCCAUGAAGCAGUAACUGGUACUGGACUUGCCCUACUGCAAUAAACAACAGGACACUAGAGAAGAUAUAUGAAACAAUUGUUUCAGACUCUGAACAACAGACAAAGCAGAACUGUAACCCCCGAGAGAAGUGAAACAAGGCAAAACCCACGCUCACCCCAGCUUUCUUUCCAAAGCUGCUUUACAGAUUGUGAUACAGGAGGGGAACUCAGGCAGGGCGUGGCAGCUCAGGCAGGGCGUGGCAGCCGUGCUGCGUUGAUGAGACAGAGCAGAAGUAGGGAUGAGGGAGGGCAGCUGGAAUUUCCAGGGCAGGGUACCACAGAUGAGUAAGCUAGACAGAGCAAGAGCUAGAAAUCCACAUGGGAGCCCUCUUGCAUCUUUGGCUCAUGCACAACGUAAAACUCUGUGAGGCCAAGCAAAGAGCAUCUACUAGGAAACUGUAAGAGGAGCAGUCCCCAGAGAUCUGAGAGGUGUUCAGGUUCUGAACAGACAAAGCCUAAAGACCUCGAAAGGAUACUGUUCUGAAAACUUAUGUGAUUGUAGGAGUGGCAUCAUAUUAUUUGAAGGUACACUGAUAAACUGAAGAUGUAUUCCAUAAACCUACAGCAACGAUUGUUUUUUAAAAAGGAGUGUUAUUCGCCAAUGGAGGAGAUAAAAUGAAAUACUGAAAAAUACUCAACUAAUCCAAAAAGGCAGGAAAAGAAGAAAAAAAUAAAAACAUAUGGUAUAAAUAGAAAACAAAUAGCAAGACAGUAGAUUUAAACCUAACCGUAUCAGUAAUUAUACUAAAUGAAUAUGAAUUAAGCAUUCCAAUUAUAAAUCAAAGAUUAUCCAAUUGGGUAAUAAAGUAAGGUCUGACUCUCUGGUGUCUACAAGAAAUCCAUUUUAUACAGACACAAGAAUGUUAAAAGUAAAAGGACGGAAAAAGGUAAACAUGAGACAUAAGAAAGGUGGAUUGACUGUGUUCAUUUCUGGCAAAACACACUUUAGGACAAGAAAUAUUACCAGACAUAAGGAGGGACAUUUCACAAUGAUAAACUAUCAAGUCACUAAGAAAAAAUAACAUUCCUAAAUGUGAAUGCACCCAGUUGUAGAACUUCAAAAGACUUGAAGCGAAAACUGACAGAAUUUGAAAGGGGAAAAAGACAAAUCCAUAAUUUAAGUUGCAUAUUUCACCACUUUCUCUUGUAUUGAUAGAAAUAUCAGACAGAAAACUGGUAUGAAUACAGAAGACUUGAACAGCGCUAUCAACUAACUGGAUCCAAUUAACUUUUACAGAAUGCUCUACCCUGCAAUGGCAGACUAAACAGUGUUUUCAGUGCAGAUGGAACGUUCUUCAUAUGCUGGGCCAUGAAACUAGUCUCAAUAAAUCCAGCAGGAUUGAAAUCACAUACUGGGCUUCUCCAACAAAAUGCAAUUUAAUUAGAAAUCAGUAACUGAAACUGGAACUCUUCUACAUUGCUGGGUCUCACUAUGUUGCCCAUGCUGGUCUCGAACUCCUGACCUCAAGCAAUCCUCCCGCCUUGGCCUUGGAAAGUACUGGGAUUACAGAUGUGAGCCACUGCACCUGGCUAAAGAUGUGAGCCACCGCACCAUAAAGAAGGGUCUCACUAUGUUGCCCAUGCUAGUCUUGAACUCCUGACCUCAAGCAAUCCUCCCGCCUUGGCCUUGGAAAGUACUGGGAUUACAGAUGUGAGCCACCGCACCUGUAGUAGAUUGCCAGAUGAUACUUUGUCCUAUUGUUUUACCUGCUAACACCUCCUAAUGUCCUGCUGCUCCUCGGCACCACACCUGGAAACCAGAUCACCAAACUUAGGAGUUAGUUAGAAACAUGCUCGUGGAUGGUGGGAGAAAAUGUAAAAUGGUGCAGCCAUUAUGGAAAACAGUAUGGAAAGUCUUCAGAAAGUUAAAAAUGGAAUUACCACACGAUUCAGCAAUGACACUCCUGGAUAUAAACCUCCCUCACCCAUCCAAAAAAUUGAAAGGAAGAUCUUCAAUAUCUGAACAUCUAUUUUCACAUAACAUUAUUCACAAUAGCCAAAAGAUGGACACAGCCCAAGUGUCCAUCAGUGGACGAAUGGAUAAAGAAAAGGUGGUAUACCUAUGCAGUGGAAUAUUACUCAGCCUUGAAAAGGAAGGAAAUUCUGAUGUGCCACAUAGAUGAACCUUGAGAACACUAUGCUAUGUGAAAUAAGCCAGUCACAAAAGGACACAUACUGUGUAAUUACACUGAUAUGAGCAAACCUUUGGGAAAGUUUUCCUUGGCCCCUACAGUGUUGGCGUCACAACAGGAUCCUAAAGCUGCUCUACAUUUCUGGAAGCCACAGUCCAGGGAACCCAGGACCUGACAAAGCAUCAGAAGGCACCUGAGUCCACGGCUUUGGCAGCCAUAGUGAUCAUGAACCUCCAGCUAUGUCCUAGAGUCAUUUAUCUCCAAGGAUGUCAGGAGGAACCUCAAAAUGUCAUCAAGACACUGGCUACAGAAUCUCGCUCUGUCGCCCAGGAUGGAGUACAGUGGCGUGAUCUCGGCUUACUGCAACCUCUGCCUCCUGGUUUCAAGCGAUUCUCCUGCCUCAGCCUCCUGAGUAGCUGGGAUUACAGACACACACCACAACAUUCAGCUGAUUUUUGUAUUUGUAGAGACGGGGUUUCACCACGUUGGCCAGACUAAUCUCAAACUCCUGACCUCAAGUAAUCCACACGCCUCAGCCUCCCAAAGUGCUGGGAUUAUAGGUGUGAGACACUGGGCCUGGCCAGAAUGUAUUUUAGUAAAUGAGGUAUGUAUUUUAUUAAGUGAGGUAUGUACCUCAUUUAAUUUGUCAUGUGCAUAAGCAGUUAUCCAGCAUUAUUGAAGAGUCUGUUCUUUUCCUCCUGGUUUGUAAUGCCAGCUCUAGACAUACCAUAAUCAGUGAGUGGUUAUCACUCCUUUCUGUUUCAUUAGUCUCACACCCUUCAUCAGUUCCAUUUUACUCAAAUCACAAUAGUUUUCUAGAAAGUCUUGAUACCUGCAAGGCAAGUUUCUCUCCUUAUUCUUCUAAGUCAUUUGACUAUUUUUUACUGUGUUAGUCUCCUGUUGCUGUUAUAACAAAUUACCACAAACGUAGGGGCUGAAAACAAUACAAGUUUAUUCUCUUACAGUUCUGGAGGUCUGUGCUCCUCCUGGAGGCUCUUGGGAAGAAUCCAUGGCCCUGUCUUUUCCAGCUUCUAGAAGCUGCCUACAUUUCUGGGCUCGUGGCUCCUUCCCCCUGCUGCAAGGCAGCAGUGCAGCAUCUUCUGGUCUCUCUCUCUCUCUGCUCCUCUGGUCACAUAGCCUCUUUCUCACUCUGACCAUCCCACUUCCCUCUUAGAAGGACCCCAGUGAUUGGCCUACACAAUAAUCCAGGAUAAUCUCCUCAAGUCUCUUAAUUUAAUCACAUCUGAAAAGUCUCUUUUGCUAUUGUAAUGUAUCCACAGAUCCAGCCUUUAAGAGGUGGACAUUUUCAUGGGAGCCAUUAUUCAGUCACCACAUUGGCCUUUUACAAUUCACUGUGAGUUUUGAGAUGUUUGCUGGGUUCUAUGGAAAAAGAAGCCCUGUUAGGGUGUUGAUUGGAGUAGUAUUGAAUUUAUAGAUUGAUUUGGGAAUUGACGUCUUUAGAAUGCUGAGCUUUUCCAUUUAUAACAUGGUUUCUCUAUUUAGGCCUUCUUUUGUGCCCUUUAGUAAAGACUUAUAAUUUUUACUGUAAAAUUGUUGUAUAGCCUGUUAUGUUUAUUCCUAGGUGCUGUGUAUAUGUUUUGCUGUUAUGAAUAGGAUUUUUUACUAUUACAAUUUCUACUUGUUUUUUGUAGGUAUAUAGGAAUACUAUUAAAUUUUAAUUUACAUAUUUAUCUUUUAUUUAGCAACCUUAGUGAAUUUUAUUUUUCUUUCUAACAUUUUGUCUGCAGAUUCUUUUGAAUUUUGUAUAUGGACAUUUUAAUCUGUAAAUAAUGACAACUUAGUUUUUCUUGUUUUGUUUUUCUUAUCUUGUUGCACUAGCUAGGGACUUCAUUACAAUACUGAAUCAUGCUUCUAACUAUACUAAUAAGUAAGCUGGCUGCACACUGUCAAGUUUUGGGAGUUCCUAUCUGUAUUAGUCUGUUCUCACACUGCUAUAAAGAAAUACCUGAGACUGAGUAAUUUAUAAAUGGAAGAGGUUUAAUUGACUCAUGGCUGGGUUCCACAUGGCUGGGGAGGCCUCAGGAAACUUACAAUCAUGGCGGAAGGCAAAAAGGAAGAAAGCACCUUCUUCACAAGGCAACAGGAAAGGGCAUGUGUGAAGGAGAAAUUGUCAAACACCUACAAAACCGUCAGAUCUCGUGAGAACUCCUCACUCUCAUGAGAACAGCAUGGGGGAAACACCCCCAUGAUUCAAUCAUCUCCCACCAAGUCCUUCCCUCGACAUGUGGGGAUUAUGGGGAUUACAAUGCAAGCUGAGAUUUGGGUGGGGGACACAGCCAAACCAUAUCACCAUCUAUUCUUGGUUUGCCAAGAAGUUUGUCUUGUAAAUGUUUUGACAACAAGAAAGGGUGUUGAACCAUAGCUAAUGAUUUUCUGCAUCAAGUGAAAUAUGUUUUAUUUCUCUUUUUAUAUGUUAAUCUGUUAAUGUGUAUUCCUAGGAUAACCCUAGUUGAUCAUACUGUAAUAUUUUUAAUAUAUAUAGCUGGAUUUAGUUUAGUAGCAAUUUAUUUAGAUCUUUUGUAUAUUAGUUUAUCAAUUAGAUUAGCAUAUACAUUUUCUUUUAUACUGGAAUUUCCUAAUUUUACUACAAAUGUUAUACAAAUCUCAUAAAAUAAGUUAGGUUUCUUUUACUAUUUUCUGUAACUGUUUUUUUUCUAAGACUGGAAUCCAUACCUUGAAAUGUGAUAGCACUUGCUUGUAAAGCUGAAUGACCCUGGUGUUAUUUUGUAUAAUUAACUUUUGUAAAUGGUUAUACUGUUCACGGUUUCUCUUUUCCCUUGAGUUGGCUUGGAAAUUUAUGAUUUUCUAGAAAAA